CAUGCAAGUCGAACGGUAACGGGCCUUCGGGUGCCGACGAGUGGCGAACGGGUGAGUAAUGUAUCGGAACGUACCUUUCAGUGGGGGAUAACGUAGCGAAAGUUACGCUAAUACCGCAUAUUCUGUGAGCAGGAAAGCAGGGGAUCGCAAGACCUUGCGCUGAUUGAGCGGCCGAUAUCAGAUUAGCUAGUUGGUGAGGUAAAGGCUCACCAAGGCGACGAUCUGUAGCGGGUCUGAGAGGAUGAUCCGCCACACUGGAACUGAGACACGGUCCAGACUCCUACGGGAGGCAGCAGUGGGGAAUUUUGGACAAUGGGGGCAACCCUGAUCCAGCCAUGCCGCGUGAGUGAAGAAGGCCUUCGGGUUGUAAAGCUCUUUCGGCCGGGAAGAAAUCGUAUGGGUUAAUACCCUGUGCGGAUGACGGUACCGGCAUAAGAAGCACCGGCUAACUACGUGCCAGCAGCCGCGGUAAUACGUAGGGUGCGAGCUUAAUCGGAAUUACUGGGCGUAAAGCGUGCGCAGGCGGUUUUGUAAGACAGGCGUGAAAUCCCCGGGCUCAACCUGGGAACUGCGCUUGUGACUGCAAGGCUAGAGUACGGCAGAGGGGGGUGGAAUUCCACGUGUAGCAGUGAAAUGCGUAGAGAUGUGGAGGAACACCAAUGGCGAAGGCAGCCCCCUGGGUCGAUACUGACGCUCAUGCACGAAAGCGUGGGUAGCAAACAGGAUUAGAUACCCUGGUAGUCCACGCCCUAAACGAUGUCAACUAGGUGUUGGGUGGGUAAAACCAUUUAGUACCGGAGCUAACGCGUGAAGUUGACCGCCUGGGGAGUACGGCCGCAAGGUUAAAACUCAAAGGAAUUGACGGGGACCCGCACAAGCGGUGGAUGAUGUGGAUUAAUUCGAUGCAACGCGAAAAACCUUACCUACCCUUGACAUGUCCAGGAGCCUGAAGAGAUUUGGGUGUGCCCGAAAGGGAACUGGAACACAGGUGCUGCAUGGCUGUCGUCAGCUCGUGUCGUGAGAUGUUGGGUUAAGUCCCGCAACGAGCGCAACCCUUGUCGUUAAUUGCCAUCAUUUAGUUGGGCACUUUAACGAGACUGCCGGUGACAAACCGGAGGAAGGUGGGGAUGACGUCAAGUCCUCAUGGCCCUUAUGGGUAGGGCUUCACACGUCAUACAAUGGUCGGUACAAAGGGUCGCCAACCCGCGAGGGGGAGCCAAUCCCAGAAAGCCGAUCGUAGUCCGGAUCGUAGGCUGCAACUCGCCUGCGUGAAGUCGGAAUCGCUAGUAAUCGUGGAUCAGCAUGUCACGGUGAAUACGUUCCCGGGUCUUGUACACACCGCCCGUCACACCAUGGGAGCGGGUUCCGCCAGAAGUAGGUAGCCUAACCGCAAGGGGGGCGCUUACCA
rnacentral:rRNA from 1 species